UUGUAUUCUAUACUCACAGGUAUAGUUUGCUGGUUAUAAGCAGAUCUAUGCACGGCACUCCAUUAUACCACACUGAUAGCUUCUCAAAGAUUAUAAAUAUGAUACAUGUAAGCAGGCACAGUUACUUGUCAUCACAAGGAUCAGAUUUCAAGUACCAGAGUAGUCCUAACUCCUUAAUUUUCCCAAUUUGUCAAAAGUACAUCUAGUGACACAAGAGAAGAAUGUGGAGUAAAUGCCAAUAAAGGCUCGACUGCAGGGGUAUACCUGACUUCUCGGCAAUUUCUGGUUAUCACCAUCCGAAUGACCGAUUCAGAGAAGAAGACCAACUUCAAGGUGACUCUUAUGCAUUGGUAAGGAUUGAAAUUUAAUUUCAUUAAUAUGGACACUUGAGGGAUGCAAGUGUCAAUUUAUUGUUAUUUGUUUUUAGACCUAUUGCUUCUCUUUUCAUCAGUUGUUGUGUGUCCCAUCAGUAACAAAUUAUCCAUUACUGACUGAACCAUUAUCAACCAAAUUUUGCAUGGUAAAAGUGCUUCUUGAUAGAAUGCAAACAAACUAAGUACAUUUAAAGUAUAUACUUAUAAUGAGUAUUAAAGAGUUCCAUUUCCAAAAUUGUACAUUACUUUGCCCCUGGGUACCCAGUAAUAGGUUCUGAUGUUAUAGAAGACAUAUAAAAAAUGCAGUAAUUCUUUGACAGUCAUCUUUUUCUGCUCUUAGGUACUCAGCAAAUAAACUUAUGCAUACAUAUAUUAUUUUAUCCUAUGUUUACGCCUUUAUAUAUGCCUAUAUGACAUCUUAAAGCGAGGACUGAAAUGCAAGGCAAACUUAAAGGUCAAGGUCAAAAGGUCAAAUUGUUAGCAUCUGAAGGAAGGUUUUGUCAUAAGGAAUAAUUUAACCUGUGAAAUAUGAGAAUUUUAGUAUUAACUGUUAAAAAGUUAUG